rnacentral:rRNA from 1 species
GGAAUAACUGUUUCAGUAAAACUAAAAAGAAAUUCCUUAAUAGGUGAAAAUUCCUUUAAUCAAUAUAAUAGACGAGAAGACCCUAAGAAUUAUACAUUAAAAUUAUAAAUUUGUAAUAAAAUUUUUGUUGGGGCAACAGAUUUGGUAUAAUCAAUAAUUUUAAAAUUUGCACAUAAAGUAUAUUUAAUAAGAAUUUAAUUACCUUAGGGAUAACAGCAUUAUUAAUAUAUUAGAUUGUGACCUCGAUGUUGGACUAGGGACUUUUGAAGUAAGCCAUUUUAAAAGAUUGUUCUGUUCGAACAUAGAAC